AUUGAACGCUGGCGGCAUGCUUUACACAUGCAAGUCGAACGGCAGCGCGGGCUUCGGCCUGGCGGCGAGUGGCGAACGGGUGAGUAAUGCAUCGGAACGUGCCCAGUAGUGGGGGAUAGCCCGGCGAAAGCCGGAUUAAUACCGCAUACGACCUGAGGGUGAAAGCGGGGGACCGAAAGGCCUCGCGCUAUUGGAGCGGCCGAUGUCGGAUUAGCUAGUUGGUGGGGUAAAGGCUUACCAAGGCGACGAUCCGUAGCUGGUCUGAGAGGACGACCAGCCACACUGGGACUGAGACACGGCCCAGACUCCUACGGGAGGCAGCAGUGGGGAAUUUUGGACAAUGGGGGCAACCCUGAUCCAGCCAUGCCGCGUGCGGGAAGAAGGCCUUCGGGUUGUAAACCGCUUUUGUUCGGGAAGAAAUGCUCUGGGCUAAUACCCCGGGGGGAUGACGGUACCGGAAGAAUAAGCACCGGCUAACUACGUG
rnacentral:rRNA from 1 species